AGAAACCUAUUGCACAUGGAAAAAUCAUCGAUCUUGAAGACAUGGAAAGCAACAAUUGCAAGGUAAACGACUUUUUCGAAUUUUAAAUAUGGAAAAACAUACUUACUCAAGCCCCUCCCAGAGUUUUUAAACUUUUGUUCGAAUGUUCUAUACCAAUAUUCGAUCCCAAAACUUGAUAAAAUUGAAUCCCUGGUUCUUGGUAAAUACAUUGUUCUUGAUUUCUCUAGUUUUGAUUCCAUGUUCAAUUGCAAGUGCUCCGGAUACGCCACUCUGUUUAAGAACUCUUAGCUAGAUGAUCUUGAAGUUUCGAUUGAACAAUAAAGAAAUACAUUGCUAAAGCAUCCACUGACCCUCUCCCAAAUCAACUAGGCCAAACAAUAUCAAUUUUGAAACCAGAAUUGUUGCUACCACUAUUCUUCCUAAAAGAGCUUCCUUUUCUACUCUGUCUCAGCCAGAUAUAUUCCUAGCCUACUUCUUACUCGCUAAAGACAGGGUCAAACUCUUGUCCUAGGUGAUUUACGUUAUGCUCGAAAGUGCUGAUGACCCAACUAGUCUCCCAUACAACAUGAUCAUCACCCGUCUAUUGGAAGCACAUCAAAAUCUCUCUCAAACCUUCCGUUCCUUCUCGUGCCUAAGUGUUAUAACUCUAUAGACUUUGUUAACAUGGGGUACAUAUCUACGGAAGGAAUAUAGGUGAAGAAGCAUGAGACCGAAGGCAAGACCAUAACAACCCACUCCAAGGCAAAAGCUUCAACCUCUCACUCAUUUGAUCCAGAACUCUCCGCAAGAUUGGUGGAGAGAUAAAAAAUUUAAAACUGUCAAGGAACUUCUUGCUGCUACCAGACAAUGGUGGAAGACAUCAGGGAAAUAUAAAAGGAAGCCAAAUCUGAUACCUCAAAAAUUCGAGUCAAGUUGGAACGAAUGGCACAGGAGCCAGUUGGUGCAUUCAGGGAAGUGCAUGACUGUAUUGAUUGAUGGAAUCUCAAUCAUCAUGACAGCAAACUAUCAUCAGGCUGAAAGACGCCAUCUAAUACACCUUACUUACUUCCUUUGUUGAUUUUGUAUGGUUGUUUUAACAAUUUAUAUUUUUUGGUAUGUUUUGUGGAUGUUCUGAACACUCAGUAGCUUAGUCGACUACAUGGUGCUUAGACUUAUGUUUUUUCUGAUCUUAGAUAAUUACUUAAGUCGGGUGCUUCCAUGGUUAAGUUAGCUACUUAUAUGCAUAUAUUAUUAUCUCUUCUGUACUUUUAUUUUUGUUGAUGCAAAAGAGGGUGAGGAAUUAUAUCAGGAGGAACAUCAAUUCAGGGGGAGCACAUACUCAAGGGGAAAAGAUCCACACGCUCAUGUCAGGGAAGUAUCAUAAGUUGAUCAUCCUUAAUUAAUGUUCAAAUUAUUAUCAUCAAAAGGAGGGAGAUUGUUAGCCUUGUUUUAAUAAUGACAUCACUUGUAAAAUUGCAGGAUCAUAUUGAUGAAGGACAAUUCACUUGUGCAAAAAGAAAAAGGAAAAAAAAGAAUGUCUGUCGCACGAGGAAAAGUAAGACAGUGGAUCAUAAGGAAAGAGAGUCAAUCAAAAGCUGGAAGUUAGCAACUUAACAAGGAAAGAAGAAUCCGAAGAAUCAAUCAAGAGCUGAAAGAUAGCGGCUUACAUGGUAAGAAGAAUCAAUCAUUCAAUAAGAAAUCCCGCCAGCACAAAUCAAGCAAUUGAUGGAGUUUAUUUACUAAGAAUGACCUAAUUCAAAGCAAUCCAGAAAGGAAGCAUAUAUGUGAAAAUUAAGCAGCAUCUUGGAAGGCUUCAACUUUAUUUUUGGAAUAUCUUUCAAAGACCAAAUCUCUUGGUUGUCAUCUCUCUGUCAGCAGUAGAUUAAGGAAAUUAUCUGCUGAAUAUUUAUAACUCCAACGGCCUCCUUCUGUGUAUUUAAAAAGAUGAAGUACUCCAUGAUAAGAUAUACUUUCAUCUAACUAAUAUCAAGCUCUUUGUUCUACUCUUAGCAAGCAUUGUAAUUUCAUUGAUUUACUGUGUAAAGAGAGAUAGAAAGAGAGGGGAAGCAUUGUAUCAAAAUCUUAGAGAACAAGAUAGUGACGUGCAAAGAAGUCACAAAACCCUCUUGUAACAAAGUUUGAUAAGGAGCCAUCAUAGAGAACCUCAUCCAACCCAAGGGCUGGACUACGAUUCAUAUUGAAUCCAAACUAAUAUAAAAUAUUAUCGUUCAAUUUUUUUUAAAUUUUUUUAAUUCAUUUUUGCAAUUUAUCAUUCUGCAACACACUAAUAGUUAAUAUUAGUACCAUAGUCAACUAUAUUGGUAAAGUAGUUGACUAAAGGACACAGAAGUCAAAAAGGAUUACAAUUCAUCCCCUUGUACUUUUAGAUAUGUAAAUGGCUUUUAAGACAAGUUUAGGAGGAACUUAUGUCUUUUUCCUUAAAUAAAUUAUGAUUUUUAGGGUAUAUAUGUUUCAAUUGCAUCUCCCUUUAUAUAUUUCUACUUGAUAAAAUUAAACGUGAAGAAUGCUCUUACCCUUCCUAUUUAAAUUUCCGUUGUUUUAUGAAAAUUUCCGUUGAAAAAUGUUUGUCAUAUUCACUAACUCAUAACCGAAUAUUUACGUUUCAGUAGUAGUGAAACUUCGACCCUGCAGGUCCGUUGAAUAACAAAAGAACUAGAAUUAUAACUGUAUAUUUUACCCAGGUACAUGUACAGACCUUUGAAGUCAUUGUUCUGACUUUCAGUGCAGUUUCGGGCUCGAAUGCAUUCGCCUAUAUUUGAGCCUAUAAUACUGUCCACCUGAAAAACAUUUCAUUUAGAAACUUUAAAUGGAAAAAGGAAGGCUAGCACAUAACUAAAUAGUUGAGUUUAAUAUCCAUUGAUACUUUAAAAGAAGCCUUAGUCACCUUCUACAAGUGAGAUAAAUUAUAACCUGGAAAAACUACAGCUUAAAUAUACUGAGAGCAUAUUGGGUCAAACUUCUAAAAACUAUUUAUUUUGAGAAGUAGAAAUAGUAUUUCACCUAAGUAAUUUUCGAUAGAAGCGGUUGGAUUUGAUCAAUUUUUUAGAAGUAUGUCUUUCUGUAUCUAAUAAACAAAUUGUAUUUGGUCAAUUUUUCCAAAAAGUACUCUAGUGUAAAAAAAUAUUAGCAUAUAAAGUAAUUCCAAACUAGUUUAAAUAACUUACCAUAUAUUCUAUUAAAUUAGGUGGCCUAUGAGUAAUUCGAGAACAGCUUAAUUCAAGAUUAAACUUACACCUAGUAUGUGCACAUUUUCAAAUCAUUGCAGUGACCUUCAAACCAAACAUGGUGGAGGAAAAAGUAACUACUAACUGGAAACAAAUGCAUGACUGUCUAACAUAUCUGAUAACUAUCAAAUGCUGACAUCACGGUAAAAAAA
rnacentral:lncRNA from 1 species